rnacentral:rRNA from 1 species
AAUAGGAUUAGAUACCCUGGUAGUCCACGCCGUAAACGGUGGGUACUAGGUGUGGGUUUCCUUCCUUGGGAUCCGUGCCGUAGCUAACGCAUUAAGUACCCCGCCUGGGGAGUACGGCCGCAAGGCUAAAACUCAAAGAAAUUGACGGGGGCCCGCACAAGCGGCGGAGCAUGUGGAUUAAUUCGAUGCAACGCGAAGAACCUUACCUGGGUUUGACAUGCACAGGACGCCGGUAGAGAUAUCGGUUCCCUUGUGGUCUGUGUGCAGGUGGUGCAUGGCUGUCGUCAGCUCGUGUCGUGAGAUGUUGGGUUAAGUCCCGCAACGAGCGCAACCCUUGUCUCAUGUUGCCAGCGCGUUAUGGCGGGGACUCGUGAGAGACCGCCGGGGUCAACUCGGAGGAAGGUGGGGAUGACGUCAAGUCAUCAUGCCCCUUAUGUCCAGGGCUUCACACAUGCUACAAUGGCCGGUACAAAGGGCUGCGAUGCCGUGAGGCUUAGCGAAUCCUUUAAAGCCGGUCUCAGUUCGGAUCGGGGUCUGCAACUCGACCCCGUGAAGUCGGAGUCGCUAGUAAUCGCAGAUCAGCAACGCUGCGGUGAAUACGUUCCCGGGCCUUGUACACACCGCCCGUCACGUCAUGAAAGUCGGUAACACCCGAAGCCAGUGGCCUAACCCUUGUGGGGGGAGCUGUCGAAGGUGGGAUCGGCGAUUGGGACGAAGUCGUAACAAGGUAACC